rnacentral:rRNA from 1 species
CCCUUAGAUGUUCUGGGCGGCCCGCGCACUACAAUGGCGCUUUCAGCGAGUUCCUAUGUUGAAUUUUCCUGGGUAUUCUUGGAAGCGGCGUCUUGACUUGGGAUAGAUCCUUGUAAUUGUUGGUUUUGAACGAGGAAUUCCUUGUAAUCGCGGUUGAUCAGCUCGCGUUGAAUACGUCCCUGCCCUUUGUACACACCGCCCGCCGCUCCUACCGAUGAAUCGUCCGGUGAAGUUCACAGAGUGGCGGUUCGUGGAGUUGCUCGCGAAGUGAAAUGGACCUCACGAUUUAGAGGAAGGAGAAGUCGUAACA